CCCUUAGAUGUUCUGGGCCGCACGCGCGCUACACUGACGAUGGCAACGAGUUUUUCCUUCGCCGAAAGGUGUGGGUAAUCUUUUGAAACAUCGUCGUGCUGGGGAUAGAUCAUUGCAAUUUUUGAUCUUGAACGAGGAAUUCCUAGUAAGCGCGAGUCAUCAGCUCGCGUUGAUUACGUCCCUGCCCUUUGUACACACCGCCCGUCGCUACUACCGAUUGAAUGGUUUAGUUAGGACUCCUGAUUGGCGCCGCCGCCCCGGCAACGGAGCAGCGGACUGCCGAAAAGUUGUUCAAACUUGAUCAUUUAGAGGAAGUAAAAGUCGUAACA
rnacentral:rRNA from 1 species